GAAUCUCCAUUGGUGAAAGGAAAGUCUUCAGAAUAUACAGAAGAAACUAGACCCCUACCUCCCACCAUAUACAAAAAUAACCUAAAAAUUGAUUAAAAACUUAAAUGUAAGUCCCCAAAAUAUGAAACUGCCAGAAGAAAAUAUAGGAGAAAGGCUUCAGAACAUUGGUCUGAAUGAAAUUUUUUUUUGUUGGUUUUUUGGGAUAUGACCCCCAAAGCACAGACAAUAAAAGUAAAAACUGACAAAUGAGAUUAUGUCAGACUGAAAAGCUUCUGUUCAGUAGAUAAAACAGUUCAUAUUGAAGAGACAACCUACAGAAUGGGAGAAAAUAUCUGCAAACUAUUCAUCUGACAAGUGAUUGAUUCCCAUAUUAUUUAAAUAACUAACAGAAAAAUACCCACAAAUAACCCAGUUAACAUUUUUCAAAAGAUAGUCAAAUGGCCAAAAUAAGCAUAGAAGAAAUUCUCAGCCUCACUAAUCAUCAGGGAAAUGUAAAUCAAAACCACAGUGAGAUGUCACUCCACCCUAGUUAGAAAAGCUGUUAUCAAAAAGACAAAAAAUGACAAAUACUGGUGAGGCUGUGUAGAAAGGAAACCCCACUGCGGUAUGGACAGAAGUUAGUGCAGCCGCUACAGAAGGUAGGACGGAGCUUGAGAGUUGUUGCCACACAGCUCAGCAAUGUCACUACCGGGUACAUAGCCAAAGGAGGGGAAAGCCAGGAUAUUGAAGAUACAUUGGCCUGGCAUGUUUCCUGCAGCACUAUUUACAAAUGGCCCGCGUAUGGAACGGACUAGGUGUUCACUGAAGGGUGAAUGGCUAAGGAAAAUGUUGUUGGGUGCAGAGCAGGCUGAACUAUGUUAGCUGCAGGGUGGCCCACGCACUCAAACCCCCCUCUGUCUGGUCCUUUAUCACCUGUUUGCAUCAAAGCUGAACAUUCAACCCCCACUCAAGGCUCAACACUCAACCCCCCUUUGUGCCAACUAGGCAGCUUGCAGACCCAGAGGCCCCAUUAGAUUUGAGCUAUAAAAACUCCCUCCUGCUGGGCCCCUCUCUAUCUUGCUCUCUUACCCUCUUGCUCUCUCUUGCUCUUGCUUUUGCUCUCUCUCUCUCUCUCUCUCUCUCUCUCUCUCUCUUCUCUUUCUCUCUUUUCUCCUCUGUUGCACUUCUACAAAAAGAUCUCUUGGUCGCUCCAAGUGUUCUGGUCACUUUCCUUUCAAAUGUGGUAUACAUACACAAUGGAGUAUUAUUCAGCUACAAAAAAGAGUGAAGUCCU
rnacentral:lncRNA from 1 species